GACGAACGCUGGCAGCGUGCCUAAUACAUGCAAGUCGAACGCAUUUUCUUUCACCGUAGCUUGCUACACCGAAAGAAAAUGAGUGGCGAACGGGUGAGUAACACGUGGGUAACCUGCCCAUCAGCGGGGGAUAACACUUGGAAACAGGUGCUAAUACCGCAUAAUUCCAUUUACUGCAUGGUAGAUGGAUGAAAGGCGCUUUUGCGUCACUGAUGGAUGGACCCGCGGUGCAUUAGCUAGUUGGUGGGGUAACGGCCUACCAAGGCUGCGAUGCAUAGCCGACCUGAGAGGGUGAUCGGCCACACUGGGACUGAGACACGGCCCAGACUCCUACGGGAGGCAGCAGUAGGGAAUCUUCGGCAAUGGACGCAAGUCUGACCGAGCAACGCCGCGUGAGUGAAGAAGGUUUUCGGAUCGUAAAACUCUGUUGUUAGAAAAGAACAAGGAUGAGAGUGGAAAGUUCAUCCCUUGACGGUAUCUAACCAGAAAGCCACGGCUAACUACGUG
rnacentral:rRNA from 1 species